rnacentral:rRNA from 1 species
AAGUUCCUACGGGGGGCAGCAGUGAGGAAUAUUGGCCAAUGGUCGGGAGACUGAACCAGCCAAGCCGCGUGAGGGAUGAAGGUACAGAGUAUCGUAAACCUCUUUUGUCAGGGAACAAAGGCGGGGACGCGUCCCCGGAUGAGUGUACCUGAAGAAAAAGCAUCGGCUAACUCCGUGCCAGCAGCCGCGGUAAUAAGGAGGAUGCGAGCGUUAUCCGGAUUUAUUGGGUUUAAAGGGCGCGCAGGCGGUCUGUUAA